AGGAAAGUCUACCUCAGAGGGGGAAGACAGAAGCUCAUACAUGUUUCCCAUUGAUGCUUCUAUUACAAAUCCUUCCUGGGAAUUCUCUGUAGCGACCUUCCUUACUUGGCUGAUUGCUGUUGUCAUUAGAGGUCUUUGGAUAUUGAAGCCAUUAAGAUCAGAGUGAUCAGGAUAGAACAGACGCUUAUGCCAAAGAAUUCCAGAGAAGCAGAUCCUGGUCAGAUGCCACGGUCCUCGGCAGGCUGCGCAGCAAGAGGAGCUCAGACAUGAGCCGACCUGUCCUUGUCCUGGAAGGUAAGGGGCAGCAUCCCAGCGAGUCUGGGGCCUCUAGCCCCUAUUGCCAAGUGGCCCCUACUUGGGAACAUGGCUGAUACUCUCCAGGGGCACAUAGAACACAAGGCCCUGCCUG
rnacentral:lncRNA from 1 species